rnacentral:rRNA from 1 species
UCGAGAGUUUGAUCCUGGCUCAGGAUGAACGCUGGCGGCGUGCCUAAUACAUGCAAGUCGAGCGAAUGGAUUAAGAGCUUGCUCUUAUGAAGUUAGCGGCGGACGGGUGAGUAACACGUGGGUAACCUGCCCAUAAGACUGGGAUAACUCCGGGAAACCGGGCUAAUACCGGAUAACAUUUUGAACCGCAUGGUUCGAAAUUGAAAGGCGGCUUCGGCUGUCACUUAUGGAUGGACCCGCGUCGCAUUAGCUAGUUGGUGAGGUAACGGCUCACCAAGGCAACGAUGCGUAGCCGACCUGAGAGGGUGAUCGGCCACACUGGGGACUGAGACACGGCCCAGACUCCUAC